ACGACCAGUGCAACAGAGAGCAAACCGCCGAUGGCCCACGCAAGUGGGAUCAGGUAAGGGUGAAAGGGUGCGGUAAGAGCGCACCGCGCGGCUGGUAACAGUCCGUGGCACGGUAAACUCCACCCGGAGCAAGGCCAAAUAGGGGUUCAUAAGGUACGGCCCGUACUGAACCCGGGUAGGCUGCUUGAGCCAGUGAGCGAUUGCUGGCCUAGAUGAAUGACUGUCCACGACAGAACCCGGCUUAUCGGUCAGUUUCACCU
rnacentral:RNase_P_RNA from 1 species